rnacentral:rRNA from 1 species
GAUGAACGCUGGCGGCGUGCCUAAUACAUGCAAGUCGAGCGAACGGACGAGAAGCUUGCUUCUCUGAUGCUAGCGGCGGACGGGUGAGUAACACGUGGAUAACCUACCUAUAAGACUGGGAUAACUUCGGGAAACCGGAGCUAAUACCGGAUAAUAUUUUGAACCGCAUGGUUCAAAAGUGAAAGACGGUCUUGCUGUCACUUAUAGAUGGAUCCGCGCUGCAUUAGCUAGUUGGUAAGGUAACGGCUUACCAAGGCAACGAUGCAUAGCCGACCUGAGAGGGUGAUCGGCCACACUGGAACUGAGACACGGUCCAGACUCCUACGGGAGGCAGCAGUAGGGAAUCUUCCGCAAUGGGCGAAAGCCUGACGGAGCAACGCCGCGUGAGUGAUGAAGGUCUUCGGAUCGUAAAACUCUGUUAUUAGGGAAGAACAUAUGUGUAAGUAACUGUGCACAUCUUGACGGUACCUAAUCAGAAAGCCACGGCUAACUACGUGCCAGCAGCCGCGGUAAUACGUAGGUGGCAAGCGUUAUCCGGAAUUAUUGGGCGUAAAGCGCGCGUAGGCGGUUUUUUAAGUCUGAUGUGAAAGCCCACGGCUCAACCGUGGAGGGUCAUUGGAAACUGGAAAACUUGAGUGCAGAAGAGGAAAGUGGAAUUCCAUGUGUAGCGGUGAAAUGCGCAGAGAUAUGGAGGAACACCAGUGGCGAAGGCGACUUUCUGGUCUGUAACUGACGCUGAUGUGCGAAAGCGUGGGGAUCAAACAGGAUUAGAUACCCUGGUAGUCCACGCCGUAAACGAUGAGUGCUAAGUGUUAGGGGGUUUCCGCCCCUUAGUGCUGCAGCUAACGCAUUAAGCACUCCGCCUGGGGAGUACGACCGCAAGGUUGAAACUCAAAGGAAUUGACGGGGACCCGCACAAGCGGUGGAGCAUGUGGUUUAAUUCGAAGCAACGCGAAGAACCUUACCAAAUCUUGACAUCCUUUGACAACUCUAGAGAUAGAGCCUUCCCCUUCGGGGGACAAAGUGACAGGUGGUGCAUGGUUGUCGUCAGCUCGUGUCGUGAGAUGUUGGGUUAAGUCCCGCAACGAGCGCAACCCUUAAGCUUAGUUGCCAUCAUUAAGUUGGGCACUCUAAGUUGACUGCCGGUGACAAACCGGAGGAAGGUGGGGAUGACGUCAAAUCAUCAUGCCCCUUAUGAUUUGGGCUACACACGUGCUACAAUGGACAAUACAAAGGGCAGCGAAACCGCGAGGUCAAGCAAAUCCCAUAAAGUUGUUCUCAGUUCGGAUUGUAGUCUGCAACUCGACUACAUGAAGCUGGAAUCGCUAGUAAUCGUAGAUCAGCAUGCUACGGUGAAUACGUUCCCGGGUCU